AACGAACGCUGGCGGCAUGCCUAACACAUGCAAGUCGAACGAGACCUUCGGGUCUAGUGGCGCACGGGUGCGUAACACGUGGGAAUCUGCCCUUUGCUUCGGAAUAACAGUUAGAAAUGACUGCUAAUACCGGAUGAUGUCGAAAGACCAAAGAUUUAUCGGCAAAGGAUGAGCCCGCGUAGGAUUAGGUAGUUGGUGGGGUAAAGGCCUACCAAGCCGACGAUCCUUAGCUGGUCUGAGAGGAUGAUCAGCCACACUGGGACUGAGACACGGCCCAGACUCCUAUGGGAGGCAGCAGUGGGGAAUAUUGGACAAUGGGCGAAAGCCUGAUCCAGCAAUGCCGCGUGAGUGAUGAAGGCCUUAGGGUUGUAAAGCUCUUUUACCAGGGAUGAUAAUGACAGUACCUGGAGAAUAAGCUCCGGCUAACUCCGUG
rnacentral:rRNA from 1 species